rnacentral:rRNA from 1 species
UACAGAGGGUGCAAGCGUUAAUCGGAAUGACUGGGCGUAAAGAGCGCGUAGGUGGUUAGAUAAGUCAGAUGUGAAAGACCUGGGCUUAACCUGGGGGUGUCAUUUGAUACUGUUUGACUAGAGUACAGGAGAGGAAGGUAGAAUUUCCGGUGUAGCGGUGAAAUGCGUAGAGAUCGGAAGGAAUACCAGUGGCGAAGGCGGCCUUCUGGCCUGAUACUGACACUGAGGCGCGAAAGCGUGGGGAGCAAACAGG